rnacentral:rRNA from 1 species
GAUGAACGCUAGCGACAGGCUUAACACAUGCAAGUCGAGGGGCAGCAUAAAAGUAGCAAUACUUUGGUGGCGACCGGCGCACGGGUGAGUAACGCGUAUGCAACCUACCUAUCAGAGGGGAAUAACCCGGCGAAAGUCGGACUAAUACCGCAUAAAACAGGGGCACCGCAUGGUGAUAUUUGUUAAAGAAAUUCGCUGAUAGAUGGGCAUGCGUUCCAUUAGGUAGUUGGUGAGGUAACGGCUCACCAAGCCGUCGAUGGAUAGGGGAACUGAGAGGUUGGUCCCCCACACUGGUACUGAGACACGGACCAGACUCCUACGGGAGGCAGCAGUGAGGAAUAUUGGUCAAUGGGCGGGAGCCUGAACCAGCCAAGUCGCGUGAAGGAAGAAGGAUCUAUGGUUCGUAAACUUCUUUUGCAGGGGAAUAAAGUGCAGGACGUGUCCUGUUUUGUAUGUACCCUGAGAAUAAGGAUCGGCUAACUCCGUGCCAGCAGCCGCGGUAAUACGGAGGAUCCGAGCGUUAUCCGGAUUUAUUGGGUUUAAAGGGUGCGUAGGUGGUUUGAUAAGUCAGCGGUGAAAGUUUGCAGCUUAACUGUAAAAAUGCCGUUGAAACUGUCGGACUUGAGUGUAAAUGAGGUAGGCGGAAUGCGUGGUGUAGCGGUGAAAUGCAUAGAUAUCACGCAGAACUCCGAUUGCGAAGGCAGCUUACUAAGCUACAACUGACACUGAAGCACGAAAGCGUGGGGAUCAAACAGGAUUAGAUACCCUGGUAGUCCACGCAGUAACGAUGAUUACUAGCUGUUUGCGAUACACAGUAAGCGGCACAGCGAAGCGUUAAGUAAUCCACCUGGGGAGUACGCCGGCACGGUGAAACUCAA